rnacentral:rRNA from 1 species
GCCAACGACGAAAGCGCGCUGAAAACGCUGGUUUUCAUGCGAUCUCCAACGUUAAGCAGCGCGUGACACGGCGAAUACUAAGAUGGGUGAUCGUCGCCCCUUAGAAAUUCUGUGCGUCGUUGGUA